AACUAGCCAAUAGGUGGCAGUCAUUAUUCACAAUAACGAAUGGUAUAAAUUUGGCAUAGUCCGCGACAAAAACUUUAAAGUAGACCUAGGCAAGCGAGACUGAGCACGCAAACAAGAAAGAAGAAGAAUCAAAAAUUAGUUUCAACUUGCUGGAAGAAUCUCAACGUGAAAGAUGAAUGCUAUUGUAACAGCCAUCAUUUUGAGCCUUGCAGUGCUGAUGAAUAGUCCUAAAGAGGUCAAAAGCUCAGCUAUAGGACUGUAUGAAGGUCCUUACGACUGUUUCGAAAACUGCCAGCUUGGUUACGAUGACUGUCAUUACUCAUGCGCUUUACCGAGUGGAUGCGAGGAGCUGUGCACGACCCCCUUCAUAGGGUGCCUCUUGGAUUGUCCCUUAUAGAACUGGGGUAAACAAGCUACACAAGCCCGAACAAGCUCAGUACAGGACAGUUCGUUCAUCAUAUACGACUUCAAGCUUAAUAUUAUUUAUUCGUCUCUGGCUGUUACAUUCGUUGCUGUUGGAAUCUGAUUAGUAUCGAUUAACGGCAUACAUUAUUUAAUUAUAAGAAACCUUCAAAGCAUUUUCUGAGAAUAAUCCGCCUUUAUUCUGGCUUACAUUCUGGUUGUAAUUGAGCAACAUAUUUUAACAAACUAUUUCAGUUAGUACUCAAAUGACUGUAACCUUGGCAAGUUGUUUAUAAUUUUUUUGAACUCACCCAUUCGUACGUGGUAUAUAAUUAAACAGGUUCGAUAUGACACCA